rnacentral:rRNA from 1 species
AGCGAACGCUGGCGGCAGGCCUAACACAUGCAAGUCGGACGAACCCUUCGGGGUUAGUGGCGGACGGGUGAGUAACACGUGGGAACGUGCCUUUAGGUUCGGAAUAACUCAGGGAAACUUGUGCUAAUACCGAAUGUGCCCUUCGGGGGAAAGAUUUAUCGCCUUUAGAGCGGCCCGCGUCUGAUUAGCUAGUUGGUGAGGUAAUGGCUCACCAAGGCUACGAUCAGUAGCUGGUCUGAGAGGAUGACCAGCCACAUUGGGACUGAGACACGGCCCAAACUCCUACGGGAGGCAGCAGUGGGGAAUCUUGCGCAAUGGGCGAAAGCCUGACGCAGCCAUGCCGCGUGGAUGAUGAAGGUCUUAGGAUUGUAAAAUCCUUUCACCGGUGAAGACAAUGACUGUAGCCGGAGAAGAAGCCCCGGCUAACUUCGUGCCAGCAGCCGCGGUAAAAC